AACGUAGGAGACAAACGUUAUCCGGAGUUACUGGGCGUAAAGGGCGUGCAGGUGGUCUGUUAAGUCUGGCGUGAAAGCUCCUGGCUAAACCGGGAGAGGUCGUUGGAUACUGGCGGACUAGAGGACGGUAGAGGCGUGUGGAAUUCCGGGUGUAGUGGUGAAAUGCGUAGAGAUCGGGUGGAACACCAGUGGCGAAGGCGGCAUCCUGGCCCUGACCUGACGCUGAGGCGCGAGAGCGUGGGGAGCAAACGGG
rnacentral:rRNA from 1 species